CCUUGACAAAGAGAUGUGACUGAAAACACUCAGUGAAACAGCAAACCAGUACUACUGAAAAAAAAAAAAAAAAAAAAAUCGUACACUUGUUUUUGUUUCAAAGAUGGCAAAGCUUUCUCCUUCCUUUUACCUCCUUCUGGCGUUCCUUAUUGUUAUCUCAGUUGAGAAGAUGGUGCCCUUGGUGGAUGCAAAGAGCUGCUACACAUCUACGGGGGACUGCCCAAGCCAGGCCAUAUGCAAAGCUCGGUGCGCGAAGCAAUACCCUGGGAGUGUGGGAUUUUGUCUCAGUACUGUUUAUCCCUUUCUUCAAUGUAUGUGCAAAAGAUGUUGAUAGAAUGAUACCUCGAAAAUGGUAGUGGGGUUUAAUAUCUUUGUCUCUAAUAAAUGAAUAAGUGGCUUGUUAAUUUAACUA